AGAGAGAGAGAGAAAGAGAGACAUAGAAUUUUUUUGGUAUUCACAACACAACACUCGAACAGACAGAAAAGAACUGAAGCACUUUGUUGGGGUCCGCAAAAAAACCUGAUAUCUCAAUCUUAGAGGUCCAAAUCUGACACAUUUUGAUUAUUUCAGUCUGACAAUUGAUUCUAACGUAACAGCACGUUGAGAUUAGUGAAAGCUAACCGA
rnacentral:misc_RNA from 1 species